rnacentral:lncRNA from 1 species
CCAGCUUCACUUCCUCAUCAACAUCAUGUAGCACAAAAUUUGUAUCAGGAACAUACCCAGCCAGCUCCAACUUCUUACCCAAACUCUCGAGCAUAGCAUAAAUCUUUUCUGACUGCGGAUGAAUCCUAUCUCCAGUGCUAAAUUGGUAAGUUUUAUUAUCCACCUCAAUCCAUGUCAAACCAGGUACUUUCUUUAGUCUCCUCUGGCUCAUCAGAUCUCUCAUCUUUGCUACAUCUUUCCACCUACCUGCUCUUGCAUAAAUAUUUGAAAGCAAUACAUAAUGUCCUGCAUUUUCGGGCUGUAGUUCAAGAAGCGAAUUCACUGCCUUUUCUGCUAGGUCUAUAUUCCCAUGGAUUCUACAUGCCCCAAGCAAAGCGCCCCAGAGUCUCUCAUCUUUCUC